GACCUGUGCGCCUGCAGCGCUCUCCUGCCCUACCCUAGCCAACCCUAGGUGCCCCUCCAUUUCCCUUGCUCACGGUGGACACCAAAAGGAAACUGCCAAGGAAAUGACCACACCAGCACCUUAGGCUGCGCCAGUAGGCUCUCCUGUCACUCCUCACUGCGCCUCGCUCGCUCCCGAGGCAAGCCUCGCCUCACAGCUCCUCGCCCGUGCUCGCCAACGCGAUGGUCACCGGUCCUGUGGACACGCAUUCGUUCCCAACUGUAUACUCCUCUCUGGCCAUGAACUUGCAUCUCAGUCCGGAAGGCACCCAAUCUACACCCUACCCAGUGCCCUAUCUCCCGUUUUGGCCCUCUUCCUUGUCGCCUUUUUCUUUGUCGAAAACCUGCGUGCAUGCACAUAGACCAACCCUUUGCGACCUUCCCAGCACUCGCACGUCUUCGUUUUUGGCUGAGAUAAACCCACCUCGUGAUACACGAUGCCGCCGCAAACUUGCCCAAUCGCGAGCCAGAUCGACGAUGUCUUGUUCGCCCUAGACCCUGCGCACGGUGCACCGCCAUCCCGUCUUUAUAAGACAAGCCCGAGCCCUCUCCUGCUGCGCACCACUUCUAUUCCUCACUCUCUCGCUAUAUACCUCACAGCAACCUUAGGGGCGGAGCACUGUUCUUCUCCCUCUCAAGCCAUCGGAGAACACGAACACCAAGCUGAGCUCUCCAUCGUGUGUGUCGUUCUCGUCGUCCCGUCGCUCGUCGUGGAUGAUGUUAGCCAUAAUCUUGAUUUUAGGCACGGAACGUGGCUUGGCUGAUCCGGUGCUUGCGGUGUGAGCUGUUUGUGCGGCUGGACGUUGCAUGCGAGUGGGCCAGGUGUGCUGUUAGUGCGUGUAGUUAGUUAGUGGCCGGGUGAUGCGUGUGCAUGGGUUAGUGGCUUAGUGGCCUGUGUGGCCGUGGCUGUGCGCUGCCUAUAAAGCUCCCCGUGUACUGAUUGUAAGAGGUAUCGAGUUGUAGCAAUGUAGCCUGUGAAUACAAAGAAAAGACUAGGGCGUCUGUGCGCCCACGGCGGCGUUCGUGCGCCGGCCGGGAAAAUUUCUGUGUCCACUGUCCAACUCCUUCUUCCUCCUCUGCCCUGUCUGUGAGAGAGAGACAGAGAAAAUGUAGCACUUGUGGGUGUCACGGGAGUCUCACAGCAAAGCUGUUUUUGUUCUUCCAUGGCGUGUGUGUCUACAGUUUUGUGAGCGUGUGUGUGAGAGAAAUACAAGUGAGAUCGUGAGAUUGUGAGGAAGAAGAAGAGGGAGCUGCAACUGGCAGCUCCUACACUUGGUAUCAGAGCCAGGUCGAUCCGAGGCGCGGCCGUGACGCGCGGUUAGUCCGCGACGAGCAUGGCGGACGCGGAGGCGGCAAGGUGACGCCGUAUGUGCGGCGAGCGCGGCGACCGCGGCGGACCUGCGUGGUGGCGCAGAGGCCGCGGUGGCGCGGCAUGGCGGCGGCAUGGAGGAGCUGCGCGGCCAUGGAGGCCGUAGCGGCGCCAUGCGACGGCCGUGGAAGCGGUGCCGGCGUGAGCAUGCCCAGGUCGAGCAGGCGGAGGCUCGGCUCCAUGGCCGGGUGUGAUGUGCUCACCGGCGCCCAGGUCUCGCGGAUGAGGAACGGCUCACGAUCGAGGAAGGUCUCGCGGAUGAGGAACGACUCACGAUCGAGGAAGGUCUCGCGGAUGAGGAACGGCUCACGAUCGAGGAAAAAUCGGAUCUCCAUGGCGUGCGUGCGCAUGGUGAUCGUGGCGUAUGUCGCCGGAACGUCGGGCGUGUGUCGCCGGCGGAGAAGGAGCUCGGCGUGUGUCGCUGAGUAAGAAGAUGAAGACGACGGCAGCUGCAGCAACUCCGGCAAUGGCAAGUCCAGAUUAGGGGGGAAAAUGUUAGCCAUAAUCUUGACUUUAGGCACGGAACGUGGCUUGGCUGAUCCGGUGCUUGCGGUGUGAGCUGUUUGUGCGGCUGGACGUUGCAUGCGAGUGGGCUGAUCAGCCAGGUGUGCUGUUAGUGCGUGUAGUUAGUUAGUGGCCGGGUGAUGCGUGUGCAUGGGUUAGUGGCUUAGUGGCCUGUUUGGCCGUGGCUGUGCGCUGCCUAUAAAGCUCCCGGUGUACUGAUUGUAAGAGGUAUCGAGUUGUAGCAAUGUAGCCUGUGAAUACAAAGAAAAGACUAGGGCGUCUGUGCGCCCACGGCGGCGUUCGUGCGCCGGCCGGGAAAAUUUCUGUGUCCACUGUCCAACUCCUUCUUCCUCCUCUGCCCUGUCUGUGAGAGAGAGACAGAGAAAAUGUAGCACUUGUGGGUGUCACGGGAGUCUCACAGCAAAGCUGUUUUUGUUCUUCCAUGGCGUGUGUGUCUACAGUUUUGUGAGCGUGUGUGUGAGAGAAAUACAAGUGAGAUCGUGAGAUUGUGAGGAAGAAGAAGAGGGAGCUGCAACUGGCAGCUCCUACACUUGGUAUCAGAGCCAGGUCGAUCCGAGGCGCGGCCGUGACGCGCGGUUAGUCCGCGACGAGCAUGGCGGACGCGGAGGCGGCAAGGUGACGCCGUAUGUGCGGCGAGCGCGGCGGACCUGCGUGGUGACGCAGAGGCCGCGGUGGCGCGGCAUGGCGGCGGCAUGGAGGAGCUGCGCGGCCAUGGAGGCCGUAGCAGCUCCUACACUUGGUAUCAGAGCCUCGUGCGAUCGAGGUCCGAGUCUCCAUCAUCGUCAAGCUGCGUCGCGAGCGAUGGAGGAUGGUAUGCUGCCCGGUAAGUUGCGCCACCGGCGGCAAGGAGGUGAUGGCCAAGGUGCGGAGGCCAUUGCCAUGAAGAGUUCAUCGUCCAUGUCCGAGUCGUCGACAAGGUGCGUCAUCAGCGGAAACAUGGAGGGAGUCACCGGCGAGCUGCGUCACCGGUGGCGAACAUGGAGGCGAGCCACCGGCGAGGUGCGGCACCGGCGGCGAACAUGCAGCAGCGAGCGCGUCACGGCAGCGUGCUCGCGGUGAAGGCGUAGGAGGUGCGUCUCUCGGCGAGGCCAAAUGGCAACGACGGCAAUCGGUGUGCAAGAUGGCAUUGGCGGCCAUCUGCGAGGUGCACCGACGACAUCGACGACCACAGGCUUCAAGGGAGAAAUAAGUAAUAGCAAGAUUUGGGAGGUGAUUGUUGGAACAAAUCUUGUUAUUAGUACUAAGUUUAGAGUUUCAUCAAGUUUGUUUUCUGUGUAAUCGAGUUACCGGCCGGAAAGCUGCGGAGGUAUACACAUGGAAAGAUGUGAUCC